rnacentral:sRNA from 1 species
UAGUAUAAUUUUAUCUGUAGAAAAGCUGAAGCAGUGGCUAUCCUUGAAGGAGAUGGUGCUUAUGAGUGAUUUUUGACUCAUGCCAACAUCCUAAUAGAAAGGAGACGCCUCGUGUCUGUAUCAGACGCGUUGCAACUAAUGUUAGAUUUUGGCUCAUUAUAU